UACAGAGGUCUCAAGCGUUGUUCGGAUUCAUUGGGCGUAAAGGGUGCGUAGGUGGCGCGGUAAGUCGGAUGUGAAAUCUCGGGGCUUAACUCCGAAACUGCAUUCGAUACUGCCGUGCUUGAGGACUGUAGAGGAGACUGGAAUUUACGGUGUAGCGGUGAAAUGCGUAGAUAUCGUAAGGAAGACCAGUGGCGAAGGCGGGUCUCUGGACAGUUCCUGACGCUGAGGCACGAAGGCCAGGGGAGCAAACGGG
rnacentral:rRNA from 1 species